ACACGAAAAAACCAGUCUUUAUAAUAACAUAGUAUUACUGUAUUACAGUCCAGAUUCGAGUUCAAAUCCAGAUUUUGGUUAGUAGAAGAACUGAAAAACAACGAAGCAGCCACAACUAUAAUAUAGGAAUAUAGGGUUAGUUACCGAGUUCUGAGGUUAAUGAGAACCGAAGCAGCCACAACGAUAAUAUAGGAAUAUAGGGUUAGUUACCAAGUUCUGAGGUUAAUGAGAACCGAAAUCAAGAUACACGAACAAUAACACACGAAAAGUUAACGAUUUGAGCUGGCUGCAACGAAACAAGACACCAGACUAAAACUGCUAAUAGACUGCCAAAAAAAACUAUGUCUAAGAUACAGACGAUAUGUUAUAACAAGAAACCUGAACAUUA
rnacentral:lncRNA from 1 species